AGCAGUGUGGCAUAGUGGUAAGGAGCACGGCUCAUAACUGAAAGGUUGCUGGUUCAAUGCCCUGCUGGGCACUGCUG
rnacentral:tRNA from 1 species